AGCGUACACGGUGGAUGCCCUGGCAGUCAGAGGCGAUGAAGGACGUGCUAAUCUGCGAAAAGCGUCGGUAAGGUGAUAUGAACCGUUAUAGCCGGCGAUGUCCGAAUGGGGAAACCCAGUGCAAUUCGUUGCACUAUCGUUAACUGAAUACAUAGGUUAACGAGGCGAACCGGGGGAACUGAAACAUCUAAGUACCCCGAGGAAAAGAAAUCAACCGAGAUUCCCCCAGUAGCGGCGAGCGAACGGGGAGCAGCCCGGAGUCUGAAUCAGCUUGUGUGUUAGUGGAAGCGUCUGGAAAGUCGCAGGGUACAGGGUGAUACUCCCGUACACUAAAACACACAGGCUGUGAACUCGAAGAGUAGGGCGGGACACGUGGUAUCCUGUCUGAAUAUGGGGGGACCAUCCUCCAAGGCUAAAUACUCCUGACUGACCGAUAGUGAACCAGUACCGUGAGGGAAAGGCGAAAAGAACCCCGGCGAGGGGAGUGAAAAAGAACCUGAAACCGUGUACGUACAAGCAGUAGGAGCCCACUAGUUGGGUGACUGCGUACCUUUUGUAUAAUGGGUCAGCGACUUAUAUUCUGUAGCAAGGUUAACCGAAUAGGGGAGCCGCAGGGAAACCGAGUCUUAACUGGGCGUUAAGUUGCAGGGUAUAGACCCGAAACCCGGUGAUCUAGCCAUGGGCAGGUUGAAGGUUGGGUAACACUAACUGGAGGACCGAACCGACUAAUGUUGAAAAAUUAGCGGAUGACUUGUGGCUGGGGGUGAAAGGCCAAUCAAACCGGGAGAUAGCUGGUUCUCCCCGAAAGCUAUUUAGGUAGCGCCUCGUGAACUCAUCUUCGGGGGUAGAGCACUGUUUCGGCUAGGGGGUCAUCCCGACUUACCAACCCGAUGCAAACUACGAAUACCGAAGAAUGUUAUCACGGGAGACACACGGCGGGUGCUAACGUCCGUCGUGAAGAGGGAAACAACCCAGACCGCCAGCUAAGGUCCCAAAGUCAUGGUUAAGUGGGAAACGAUGUGGGAAGGCCCAGACAGCCAGGAUGUUGGCUUAGAAGCAGCCAUCAUUUAAAGAAAGCGUAAUAGCUCACUGGUCGAGUCGGCCUGCGCGGAAGAUGUAACGGGGCUAAACCAUGCACCGAAGCUGCGGCAGCGACGCUUAUGCGUUGUUGGGUAGGGGAGCGUUCUGUAAGCCGUUGAAGGUGGCCUGUGAGGGUUGCUGGAGGUAUCAGAAGUGCGAAUGCUGACAUAAGUAACGAUAAUGCGGGUGAAAAACCCGCACGCCGGAAGACCAAGGGUUCCUGUCCAACGUUAAUCGGGGCAGGGUGAGUCGACCCCUAAGGCGAGGCCGAAAGGCGUAGUCGAUGGGAAACAGGUUAAUAUUCCUGUACUUGGUGUUACUGCGAAGGGGGGACGGAGAAGGCUAUGUUGGCCGGGCGACGGUUGUCCCGGUUUAAGCAUGUAGGCGGAUGUUCCAGGUAAAUCCGGAACGUUAUUAACGCUGAGGUGUGAUGACGAGGCACUACGGUGCUGAAGUGACAAAUGCCCUGCUUCCAGGAAAAGCCUCUAAGCAUCAGGUAACAUCAAAUCGUACCCCAAACCGACACAGGUGGUCAGGUAGAGAAUACCAAGGCGCUUGAGAGAACUCGGGUGAAGGAACUAGGCAAAAUGGUGCCGUAACUUCGGGAGAAGGCACGCUGAUGGUAAGUGAAGUGACUUGCUCAUGGAGCUGAAAUCAGUCGAAGAUACCAGCUGGCUGCAACUGUUUAUUAAAAACACAGCACUGUGCAAACACGAAAGUGGACGUAUACGGUGUGACGCCUGCCCGGUGCCGGAAGGUUAAUUGAUGGGGUUAUCCUCGCGGAGAAGCUCUUGAUCGAAGCCCCGGUAAACGGCGGCCGUAACUAUAACGGUCCUAAGGUAGCGAAAUUCCUUGUCGGGUAAGUUCCGACCUGCACGAAUGGCGUAAUGAUGGCCAGGCUGUCUCCACCCGAGACUCAGUGAAAUUGAACUCGCUGUGAAGAUGCAGUGUACCCGCGGCAAGACGGAAAGACCCCGUGAACCUUUACUAUAGCUUGACACUGAACACUGGUCCUUGAUGUGUAGGAUAGGUGGGAGGCUUUGAAGUGUGGACGCCAGUCUGCAUGGAGCCGUCCUUGAAAUACCACCCUUUAAUGGCUGGUGUUCUAACGUNGGGUUGCGGACAGUGUCUGGUGGGUAGUUUGACUGGGGCGGUCUCCUCCUAAAGAGUAACGGAGGAGCACGAAGGUCAGCUAAUCCUGGUCGGACAUCAGGAGGUUAGUGCAAUGGCAUAAGCUGGCUUGACUGCGAGCGUGACGGCGCGAGCAGGUGCGAAAGCAGGUCAUAGUGAUCCGGUGGUUCUGAAUGGAAGGGCCAUCGCUCAACGGAUAAAAGGUACUCCGGGGAUAACAGGCUGAUACCGCCCAAGAGUUCAUAUCGACGGCGGUGUUUGGCACCUCGAUGUCGGCUCAUCACAUCCUGGGGCUGAAGUAGGUCCCAAGGGUAUGGCUGUUCGCCAUUUAAAGUGGUACGCGAGCUGGGUUUAGAACGUCGUGAGACAGUUCGGUCCCUAUCUGCCGUGGGCGCUGGAGAAUUGAGGGGGGCUGCUCCUAGUACGAGAGGACCGGAGUGGACGCAUCACUGGUGUUCGGGUUGUCAUGCCAAUGGCAUUGCCCGGUAGCUAAAUGCGGAAGAGAUAAGUGCUGAAAGCAUCUAAGCACGAAACUUGCCCCGAGAUGAGUUCUCCCUGACUCCUUGA
rnacentral:rRNA from 1 species